CUCCUUCAUUAGUCCCUUUGAAACUGCUCUGCGUAGGCUUCCUGCAUUUAACAAGAUAGAGGAUGCAGUUCAGGACUAAUUAAUUUAGUCACUCAUCUUUUGUAUUCUAUUUGUAGUUACAGCGGGUUGUUAGGCGAGGAAGAGACAGCUUCCUAGUAUUAGAUCUUUCUGGUGUCGACUGUGAGCUGAAUACAGUGGGUGCUUGCAUUGUCAUUCUACCUUAUUGACUCCACUGUCAUUGCAAAAUACUAAUUUGGUUUGGUACUUAAUCAUUUUAAAUCUUCACAUUUCCAAGCAUUUAAUGCAGAUUAACGAUUAAGAUGCUUCUCAGGGAGAGGUGUGUUGUGUCAUCCCUGGGUUUUUAGAUGAGAAAAAACUGUGUGCUUUGUGUGGGUGUUCAAGUAUUUCAUCUGCCCCAGGCUCGCUAUAAGAUUAGGGCCUCAGAGCUAAAAAUGACUUGCUCAAGGCCACGCAGAAUAAACUAAUCCCCUGACUCCCUUGCUCUGCUUUAAUCAUUUGUUUUCUUAGCACAGCGUGAUUUCAAAUGGAGCCUUACGAGGUUUGACCGAGAUAGAGCAGAUAAAGGCUGAGAGGCAGCAGAUCCUUGGAUAUCUCAGUAAUUAAAACAAUGGGCUUUUUAACAUUUUUGAAAAAAAAUAUAUAAAUAUAUAUUACAUACAAAUUAUAUUUUUAAUCGAUAAUAUAGAUGUAUUUACAAGGCUGUAUAGGGCUUUGGUUUUGUCUUGAAAGGCUGUCAUGAAGAUGACCCACUUUUUUUUCCACUUUUUUUUCCCCCCCCAGCAGGAUUCAGUCUAGGAUUUGAGAGCCCUGAAGAUGCUUCUUUUGUGGACAAGGGCACUAAUGAAAGAAUAAGAGCUGAUUAUCUUCCUGCAUGCAAAGGGAAGGCCCUGCAAUUGCAGCUCUGAUGGUGCUCUUCGCAGUGGCGUGGGCACAGUCCCAGGGUAUCUUAGCUCUGAAGUCAGGCACGAGAGCGGCCGCGUAACCUCCUGUUCUGCGGGGGUUUGCUGGAGCGCAGCUGUGUAAGUGUUUGCUCGGGUUUUUGUCUUUCGCUCCUGAUCUUUUUCUGCGGCCUCUGGUCUUUCUUGCCUUGCGCAUCCCUCUAGAUGAAGCAUCGCACUCGCGCUUUGGAAGGAGUGGGUGCUGCCGUUUGUGGAGCAGAUCCUGCUGGAUCUCUACUCCCAUAAAGUGACUGAGAGAGUAUUGGAGAAACCCAUUAUUCACAACGCGGAGACUCGGCAAAUAAAUCAAGCUGCAGCGGCGAACAGGGUGGGAGGGACGGGCCAGCAGCCUUCACCGCAGCGCUCGGAAGUGCCGUGUUUCUUCUCAGGUGCGGUGGUUCUGGAAGCGCUGAGGCGGUGGCCCGGCGGCCUGCGGGCGCGCUCCGACGGGCAGCCGCAGAGCCGCUGGUAGCGGAGCGCUGACGGCGGGAAGGGCGCUGAGCGCAGCCAGGUUAAUUAGUAAUAAACCGACUCGCCCGUCGCCUCCCCGGGCGGCCGUUUGGCCGGGGAUGCCGAAGGACUCUCGGGGACCGGACCGGGCGCGCCCCCGGCGCCCCCUUCUCUCCCGGGAGCGCGCCUGCCCAUGCCCGCCCAGGGCGCGCGCCCCGCUCCUGAUUGGCCGAGCCCCCUCCUCAGGCGCUGGCCGCCAUUUUGGCCUCCCGCCGCCUCGGGGGGGGCAGACAUGUUCUUCCCCGUACCCCCCCACGCCGCCGCCCGCCGCCGCGCCGAGGGAGCAGCCGGUGUGGGUAGCGGCGGGCGUCUGCGCCGCGGGAAGGCCGCUAAGUGCUGUUGUAAAAUGCAAAUUGAACAUGAGAAACAGAAGAUGCUACCGAGCUUUUAUAAAAACAGAUGACGCUUCAUCUACAGUAUCCCUGUUGAGCAGCAGCUAUUAAACCAAGAAUAGCGUUACCACCCACUUCUUGAAGAUACCUGAAAUUGCUGUACAGAGUGGGGUAAGCAUAGUAGAGUAAGCUUAACUCAUGUUUCUUAUAAAUAACAUCCUACUGAUAAACGGGGUCAUGCUGUCCUUAAGUGAAGUGGGAUUGACAUCUGAAAAGGCUAUCCAGGCUUCGGUUGCCUGGGCAUGUUGUCACUCCCCCACCCCACCCCCCUUUUAUUUAAAUGCAAAGACUCUAUUACGUAGUAUCUGUCUAAGGCUUGCAAUGAUUGAUAUCCUGCGGUACAGGCGUUGCUUGAAUGAUUCGCUGUGAGACAGUCUGUGGAGCUGUGGUGGUAGUGUAGACAAACCUUGUUUUUCUCCAGGAGGUUACUCCCCUGGGAAGGGAAGCCUGUUGGUUACAGUUCACCGGUACAGCCGCUCUCUGACUCCUGCAAGCAUACCAAGGCAUCGGAAGGCACAGGAUCAAUGCAAAAAAGCAAGGAACAUCUGUACAAUGGUGCUGCAAUGCUGUACCUCCCAGCAUCACUCUCUUGCAAAGUUAGAUCCUUAAGACAGUAAAUUAGUAAGAACUACCUCAACUGAUUAAAUGUAUGUGUAUUGUUUAGAGAGAACACUUUACGACUGUUUCUUGAUCACUGAGAAUCUUAAGAACAUCACAAUCUAAAACGGUCUACUUCAGAUUUGAAAAAAUGUUUCUCAAAAAGUUGACAAAAGUGCCUGGUUUUUAGUCAGCACAAAGCCACAGAACUGAUUUAAAAGUAAUUCAGACCUUAUUAGUUUUACUGUAAAUAAUGUAACAUUGUUUGGCAGUAGAUUUACGAUUAGAUCCCACACAGUGUCAAAUUCAGCUCCUGCAACUGAUACUUGGUGAAGUUGAUAUCAAAUUGUAAAUUACAUUGUUAGGAAAGCUAUUAAAAAUACUGUACCUUAUAUUUAAUCUUACUAGUGAGAAAUAGCUGCUGGGCAGCACACAAAUUGCUACUGAUACUGUUUGGUUUUUUUAAAAAGGUUAAUAAAAUACAAGCAAGGUAGAAAAUAGGAUUAAAAGCACUGUUUCAGGUACAAGUUUUUCUGAACUGGGUGAGAGAUAAGAAACCAGAAAAACACACUGCACAUAUGUGCACCCUCUGUAUAAAGAGAAACGUACAAAGUGGGAAACUGGUGGUGCACUGGGAUAGUACACUGAAGUCUCUGAUGCUGUAAACUUGAAUUCCGAAUUUUAUCAAAAAGGGGAAUUGAGUCUGGUUCCAUUUUUGAGUCCCCGUGGGUUACACUUGCAGACUACCCCGUGGUUUGGCACAGUACACUUGGAAGAGGCAGUCUCUGCUGAAGGGACGCUAGGACUGGAAGAGGAGGCGUAAAACAUGUCAAGACCGGGUGCAGUGGGAGAGCGUGAGCAGUGGUCUACUACCUACUGGGAAUUAGCCAGCGCUGUUGGCCUGGUACUUUCAAUACUGGGCUGUGACCAGCGAGCUGGCUGCCUGCAGAAAGACUGAGACAAGCUGGCCACGUACCCUUUUCAGUAGCGCUUGGAGUUUCCUGUCCUAUGGGCCUGUCCAGGACCAAUUCGACAUGGGUCUUUGUAGUGUGUAAACAGAGAAUGCUGUUGCUCCAGCUUGUCCUCUGCAGGGAAAGAAGGAGCCCAAGAAAAGGCGCAUCAGCUACAUGUUGUGAACCUGUGGAUAACUGCGUGUUCUGCCCCAGCAG